rnacentral:rRNA from 1 species
CAGCAGCCGCGGUAAUACGUAGGGACCAAGCGUUGUCCGGAUUUAUUGGGCGUAAAGAGCUCGUAGGCGGUUCCGUAAGUCGGAUGUGAAAACUCAGGGCUCAACCCUGAGACGCCAUCUGAUACUGCGGUGACUAGAGUCCGGUAGGGGAGCAUGGAAUUCCUGGUGUAGCGGUGGAAUGCGCAGAUAUCAGGAGGAACACCAAUGGCGAAGGCAGCGCUCUGGGCCGGUACUGACGCUGAGGAGCGAAAGCAUGGGGAGCAAACAGGAUUAGAUACCCUGGUAGUCCAUGCCGUAAACGUUGGGCACUAGGUGUGGGGUCUUCUAACGGAUUCCGUGCCGUACCUAACGCAUUAAGUGCCCCGCCUGGGGAGUACGGCCGCAAGGCUAAAACUCAAAGGAAUUGACGGGGGCCCGCACAAGCGGCGGAGCAUGUUGCUUAAUUCGAGGCAACGCGAAGAACCUUACCUGGGUUUGACUACUGAGGGCCGGUACAGAGAUGUACCCUUCCCUUCGGGGACUUCAGGAGAGGUGCUGCAUGGCUGUCGUCAGCUCGUGCCGUGAGAUGUUGGGUUAAGUCCCGCAACGAGCGCAACCCCUUUCUUUAGUUACCAUCAUUUAGUUGGGGACUCUAAAGAUACUGCCCCGGUUAACGGGGAGGAAGGUGGGGAUGACGUCAAGUCCUCAUGGCCUUUAUGUCCAGGGCUACACACGUGCUACAAUGGGCUGUACAAAGGGUUGCCAACCUGCGAAGGUGAGCUAAUCCCAGAAAGCAGUUCGUAGUUCGGAUUGGAGUCUGCAACUCGACUCCAUGAAGCUGGAAUCGCUAGUAAUCGUGGAUCAGC